rnacentral:lncRNA from 14 species
GAAGGAGUGAGACUACGCCCAUCUGCCAGAUAUAAUUUUUGGAGGAUAAAAGAAUUAAAGAGGAACAGCCAAGUGUAGGAGGAAGUGUACACUUAGGAAGCAGGACUGGGAACUCGGCCUUCUUCCUGCCCUUCAGUGUGCUGUUAGAAUGUGCCUCUCAUCAGCUUGAAGCCAGCAGCACAACCAGGAUCACCAAGACAGGCCUGACGCUUGUGAUGAGCAAUCUCACUGCAUGGUGCUGGCUUGCCCAGAGCUCGCAGAACUCUGCCUUCCUGAGAGAUGAUGGGAUUAAAGGCUGUGACACCACACCAGACCUUGGUGCUUUUGAAUUGUUUGCUGCUCUAGAGCAGACUCUUCGUCAUCAUGCCUGGACUAUUACAGUGAGAUGCUUUGAACAGACCUUCCUGCUUGUUCAUUUGGUUACCGCGUUGCACUGCACAAACGUUCUUAAAACAUUAACCACCUGUGACCUGUCUGAAAGCAAGCAUUGGCUUUAAGUACAUAGAAAAUAUUAAUUCUAGACUUUUUAGCUAGAACUUUAAUACUAUUCAUGCACACACACACAAUGUCUUCCUCAUGUGUCACUAUCUCCAA